rnacentral:rRNA from 1 species
GCUACGGGAGGCAGCAGUGAGGAAUAUUGGUCAAUGGGCGCGAGCCUGACCCAGCCAAGUAGCGUGAAGGAUGACUGCCCUACGGGUUGUAAACUUCUUUUAUAAAGGAAUCAAGUGAGGCAAGUGUGCCUUUUUGUAUGUACUUUAUGAAUAAGGAUCGGCUAACUCCGUGCCAGCAGCCGCGGUAAUACGGGGGAUACGAGCGAUAUACGGAUUGAUUGGGUUUAACGGGAGCGUAGAUGGGUGGUUAAGUCAUUGGUGAAAGUGUGCGGCUUAACCGUAAAAUUGCAAUUGCGACUGGCAGUCAUGAGGACAGUUGAGGUAGGCGGAAUUCGUGGUGUGGCGGGGAAAUGCUU